AAUAGAUACCCCGGUAGUCCACGCCGUAAACGAUGAGUGCUAAGUGUUAGGGGGUUUCCGCCCCUUAGUGCUGCAGCUAACGCAUUAAGCACUCCGCCUGGGGAGUACGGUCGCAAGACUGAAACUCAAAGGAAUUGACGGGGGCCCGCACAAGCGGUGGAGCAUGUGGUUUAAUUCGAAGCAACGCGAAGAACCUUACCAGGUCUUGACAUCCCAUUGACCACUAUGGAGACAUAGUUUUCCCUUCGGGGACAACGGUGACAGGUGGUGCAUGGUUGUCGUCAGCUCGUGUCGUGAGAUGUUGGGUUAAGUCCCGCAACGAGCGCAACCCUUGUUCUUAGUUGCCACCAUUUAGUUGGGCACUCUAAGGAGACUGCCGGUGACAAACCGGAGGAAGGUGGGGAUGACGUCAAAUCAUCAUGCCCCUUAUGACCUGGGCUACACACGUGCUACAAUGGACGGUACAAACGGUUGCCAACCCGCGAGGGGAGCUAAUCCGAUAAAACCGUUCUCAGUUCGGAUUGUAGGCUGCAACUCGCCUACAUGAAGCCGGAA
rnacentral:rRNA from 1 species